UAGUCCACGCUGUAAACGAUGUGCACUAGGUGUUGGUCCGUUGAGGAUCAGUGCCGUAGCUAACGCGUUAAGUGCACCGCCUGGGGAGUAUGCUCGCAAGGGUGAAACUCAAAGGAAUUGACGGGGGGCCCGCACAAGCGGUGGAGCAUGUGGUUUAAUUCGAUGAUACGCGAGAAACCUUACCAGGGCUUGACAUAAGCAUGACGGUUGUAGAGAUACAGCUUCCCUUCGGGGCAUGUUUACAGGUGCUGCAUGGCUGUCGUCAGCUCGUGCUGUGAAGUGUUGGGUUAAGUCCCGCAACGAGCGCAACCCUUGCUGUCAGUUGCCAACAGGUAAUGCUGGGGACUCUGACGGUACUGCCGGUGACGAAACCGGGAGGAAGGGUGGGGGACGACGUCAAGGUCAUCAUGGCCCUUAUGUCCUGGGGCUACACACGUGCUACAAUGGUCGGUACAGAGCGACGCGAAACCGCGAGGGUGGGAGCAAAUCG
rnacentral:rRNA from 1 species